AGUCUCCAUGAAGGUUGAGCUCCGAUGGCCAACGGCCAUUUCCACCUUGUGGUCUACAACUCUUCAUCCCGACUGCAUGGAGGUUGGUCUCUCUCUUCAGCUGGAUUUAGGCCACCAUCUGAGCCCCCGGGGUACGUUUUGUCUGACCCUGGCGCCAUUCGAACGGUUCUUCUACAGCAUCAGUUCUCUUUCCUGCCACCAUGUGAAGAAGGACAUGUUUGCUUCCCCUUCUGCCAUGAAUAACCUGGCAUGCAGUUUUCAGCAACCCUGUGGGGACAGUUUCAAGACAAGAAGGAAUAUGGUGACACCCCUGCUCCCCAUUCACCCUCCGCUAUCAGUAAAAGCUUCCUCAGACCUCACCAGAAGCUGGACAGAUAGAUGCUGGUGCCAAGCUUGUACAGACUGCAGAACCAUGGGCCAAAUAAACCUCUUUUCUUUAUAAA
ensembl:lncRNA PPP1R3B-DT PPP1R3B divergent transcript